rnacentral:rRNA from 1 species
GUCCUGGCCGUAAACGAUGGGUACUAGGUACGGGGGUCCCAAUGCCUCCGUGCUGGAGAUAAUUUAUUAAGUACCCCGCCUGGGGAGUAUAGUCGCAAGGCUGAAACUCAAAGGAAUUGACGGGGGCUCACACAAGCGGUGGAGCAUGUUGUUUAAUUCGAAGCAACGCGCAGAACCUUACCUGGGCUUGACAUGCUAGUGGUACGAACCCGAAAAGGGGAGGACCCUCUCUCGAGGGAGCUA